rnacentral:rRNA from 1 species
UACGUAGGGUGCGAGCGUUGUCCGGAAUUAUUGGGCGUAAAGGGCUCGUAGGCGGUUUGUCGCGUCGGGUGUGAAAUCCUACGGCUUAACUGUGGGCUUGCUUUCGAUACGGGCAGACUAGAGGUAUGCAGGGGAGAACGGAAUUCCUGGUGUAGCGGUGAAAUGCGCAGAUAUCAGGAGGAACACCGGUGGCGAAGGCGGUUCUCUGGGCAUGAUCUGACGCUGAGGAGCGAAAGUGUGGGGAGCGAACAGG